rnacentral:lncRNA from 1 species
UGACGUAGUCUUGGUUUCAAUUAAUUCGAAGAUUGGACAUAAUAUGGGUUUCAAUGUUUGGACAUAAUAUGGGUUUCCGAAACCAUUAUUAAGAUAGUCUUGAUAAUAUAUGUCUUAAACUAUGAAUCACAAGACAUGUAAGUUGUAGAGAUCCAACCAUCAUGGAUCUUAGCAAGCUAGUGGGAGUUAUAAGCGUCUUAUGAGAGAAAGAUCAAAUCGUUUGAUUUCUCAUAAAGAUGUAAAUUGAAUCUUUUGUUUACUAGGUUUACAAAAGAUUAGUGGGAGUUAAUCAUAUUCCUAAAAUUGAAUAUAUAUGAUAUAUUAAUUUUGGAAAUGAAAAUAAUACUUGUUCGUUAAAGUUAUACUUUAAACAUUCUAUAACGAUAGAAUGUAUAUGGGAGAUAUAGUCUAAAUACUUGGGAUAGAAAUCUAUAAUGAUAUAUUUCGAGAUAUAAUUGGAUUAUUGAUGUGAAAAAUAAGUUAACACACAAAAUUAAACCCUCUUUUUAUCAAUUGUAGUAAAGUAUGUAAGUA